ACGUGGGUAUUUCGAACAGUUGGUACAAGACUAUGCGUUCCAAAUUCAUUUACUUUAAUCCUGAAAUAAAUUAUCCCACUGAACACAGAUACAGUAAUUUAUUCUAGAUUUAAACAGGUAUCGGAGUCAGUUAAUUCAUUUAUUCUAGAUUAAACUUAUUCCGCUUCCAAAGAUUGCUUCAGGUGUUUAGUGCCUUUCGUGAGUGGCAGUCUUUUCGCAUCC
rnacentral:lncRNA from 1 species